rnacentral:rRNA from 1 species
GAUGAACGCUGGCGGCGUGCUUAACACAUGCAAGUCGAACGAAGCACUUUAUUACGAUUUCUUCGGAAUGACGAUUUAGUGACUGAGUGGCGGACGGGUGAGUAACGCGUGGGUAACCUGCCUUAUACAGGGGGAUAACAGUUGGAAACGGCUGCUAAUACCGCAUAAGCGCACAGUACCGCAUGGUACAGUGUGAAAAACUCCGGUGGUGUGAGAUGGACCCGCGGCUGAUUAGCUAGUUGGCAGGGUAACGGCCUACCAAGGCGACGAUCAGUAGCCGGCCUGAGAGGGUGAACGGCCACAUUGGGACUGAGACACGGCCCAAACUCCUACGGGAGGCAGCAGUGGGGAAUAUUGCACAAUGGGGGAAACCCUGAUGCAGCGACGCCGCGUGAACGAAGAAGUAUUUCGGUAUGUAAAGUUCUAUCAGCAGGGAAGAUAAUGACGGUACCUGACUAAGAAGCACCGGCUAAAUACGUG